rnacentral:rRNA from 1 species
CCUACGAGAGGCAGCAGUCGAGAAUCAUUCACAAUGGGGGAAACCCUGAUGGUGCGACGCCGCGUGGGGGAAUGAAGGUCUUCGUAUUGUAAACCCCUGUCGUGUGGGAGCCAAUUACAAAGCUAGUACAACACGAGGCAGAGACGGCUAACUCUGUGACAGCAGCCGCGGUAAUACAGAGGUCUCAAGCGUUGUUCGGAAUCAAUGGGCGUAAAGCGUGCGUAGGCUGUUGAGUAGGUCGUGUGUGAAAGGCGCGGGCUCAACCCGCGGACGGCACAUGAUACUGGGAGACUAGAGUAAUGGAGGGGGAACCGGAAUUCGCGGUGUAGCAGUGAAAUGCGUAGAUAUCGAGAGGAACACUCGUGGCGAAGGCGGGUUCCUGGACAUUAACUGACGCUGAGGCACGAAGGCCAGGGGAGCGAAAGGGAUUAGAUACCCUAGUAGUC